CAGGUAAGCAGCUGUUCAGUGUACUGGCGCUACUCUGUUACCAGGGACACACUCAGCUAUACAAUAUACUGCAACACUAAGGACUUUAACGCCUUUGCCUAUUAUCCUUUCCAUACCCAUGGACUAAGGUCAGUUAGGUAGGCGGUUAUUUAGACAGAUUUACCCAUCUGUUUUUCUAUGUCCGAUUAAUACACUGUAUGCACUAGCUGGGUGUGUGAACAUAUACCUGGAUCAGAUUCAUUGUUCGUUGCUUACCAGCAAUCAACUGCCAUACCACCGCAUGCAAUUUAGUUCUGCUUUUUCUUUAUGAUUAUACUCUCCUAUCUGGUUGAAACAAUUUCCUUGUGAAUUACAAUCAGUGAUAGGCCAAUAAAAGACCGUUCGUUGAUUACCACCAACGCGGGAUACCCCUUAAUGAAAUAUCUAUGCUCCUGAGGAAGCGCUAAUUCCAUA